GGCGAUAUAGUUUAAGAAAAAUAGUGUCUUGCAAGGAUGAAGUUACUUUCGGGUUAUCGCUU
rnacentral:tRNA from 1 species